rnacentral:rRNA from 1 species
AACGAACGCUGGCGGCGUGGAUAAGACAUGCAAGUCGAACGAGAGAAUUUCUAGCUUGCUAAUAAUUCUUUAGUGGCGCACGGGUGAGUAACACGUGGGUAACCUGCCCCCGAGAGCGGGAUAGCCCUGGGAAACUGGGCUUAGUACCGCAUAGUAUCGAAAGAUUAACGCAGCAAUGCGCUUGGGGAUGGGCUCGCUGCCUAUUAGGUAGUUGGUGAGGUAACGGCUCACCAAGGCGAUGACGGGUAGCCGGUCUGAGAGGAUGUCCGGCCACACUAGAACUGAGACACGGUCCAGACACCUACGGGUGGCAGCAGUCGAGAAUCAUUCACAAUGGGGGAAACCCUGAUGGUGCGACGCCGCGUGGGGGAAUGAAGGUCUUCGGAUUGUAAACCCCUGUCAUGUGGGAGCAAAUUAAAAAGAUAGUACCACAAGAGGAAGAGACGGCUAACUCUGUGCCAGCCGCCGCGGUAAUAC